rnacentral:lncRNA from 10 species
GGGCGUCGGAAAGCGGCCUUCUGGGACUCCGCAAACUCCCGUUCUCCCUCCCCCCUCCCCCUUGCCAUUCCCUUUGCCUUCCGGGCGCCAAGUCUCUCUGGCCUCCAAGGUGAACCCAACUCCCCAGCGCGCCCCGGGUUCCCGGGUCGGGCCGGCUUCAGGCGGUGGGGAGCGGGAUCCCGGGCCCCGGGCGGGCGGGAGGGACGGGACGCGGUGCAGUGUUGUUUUUUCCCCCGCCAAUAUUGCACUCGUCCCGGCCUCCGGCCCCCCCGGCCCCCCGGCCUCCCCGCUACCCCUAGCGGGGCAGCCCCCGCCCUCCUGGCUCUCCAUCCCGGCGGAUCUUUGAUAGACUGGAGUGUCGCCGCUGCCACCACGGGAAAAUGGGUCAUGGAGGAGUGACUUCACCAACAUCACUCAUAGGUGCUUGUGUCCGUGGUGAGAAGGGUGAUGGAGAGAAGUGGCUGCAGUUCCCACCCAUGGAGAGGUCACUGGUGAAUCCCAGCUAAAGAGGAAGGACAGGCCCGGCCUGAGUCCCACAGGCUUACCAUCUGAGUCCUUCUGAUUGGGAUUGGGUACCAGGCGGCAGUUAUCGGGACCAGGAGGCACAUAAUCUGGGAUGCCAUCAUUGUCAUCAUCCCCAUCACACUCAUCUCCAAGUCCAUCGUUAUCAGAGUCCAGCUGGGAGCUAUUUGGCAGCUGUGGGCAGUUGUCCUUGGUGUCCUGAUGCCCAUCCCCAUCGCUAAUCAGAAGAACAGGUUGGUGAAAGUCCCGAACUUUGUCUCCCCACCCAGAGGACAACUGGCCAGGAAAUCUGCCUGUUUCUUGUCUCACCCUCUAGUCCACACUCUGCCUAACACUACGCCCUACCUCACAUUCCUAUUGACAUCUGCUGCAGGUAAUCUCUCCUCACCCAGGCCAACGUCCACAAGCCUGCCUCCCUAUUUCACAGAGACUUCCUAGCUUCCCUGCUUCAUCCCCACCUGAUCCAAAUUCUCACAGGUCCCCCAGCCACCCCUUCAGCCCCAGGCCUGCACCAUCCCCAUCCACGUCGUUGUCACAGGCAUCUCCUUCCCCAUUGCCAUCUGUGUCCUUCUGGUCAUUGUUGGGAACGUUGGGGCAAUUGUCACAGGCAUCACCAAAUGAAUCUGUAUCUGAG